CUGGGCUACACACGUGCUACAAUGGGAAGUACAACGAGUCGCUAGACCGCGAGGUCAUGCAAAUCUCUUAAAGCUUCUCUCAGUUCGGAUUGCAGGCUGCAACUCGCCUGCAUGAAGCCGGAAUCGCUAGUAAUCGCGGAUCAGCACGCCGCGGUGAAUACGUUCCCGGGCCUUGUACACACCGCCCGUCACACCACGAGAGUUUGUAACACCCGAAGUCGGUGAGGUAACCUUUUUGGAGCCAGCCGCCUAAGGUGGGAUAGAUGAUUGGGGUGAAGUCGU
rnacentral:rRNA from 1 species